rnacentral:rRNA from 1 species
AGGGCACCACCAGGAGUGGAGCCUGCGGCUUAAUUUGACUCAACACGGGAAAACUCACCCGGCCCGGACACUGGAAGGAUUGACAGAUUGAGAGCUCUUUCUUGAUUCAGUGGGUGGUGGUGCAUGGCCGUUCUUAGUUGGUGGAGCGAUUUGUCUGGUUAAUUCCGAUAACGAACGAGACUCUAGCCUACUAAAUAGAUCGUCGGCUUACAAACGCUGAUGAGACUUCUUAGAGGGACAGGCGGCGAUUCAGCCGCACGAAACAGAGCAAUAACAGGUCUGUGAUGCCCUUAGAUGUCCGGGGCUGCACGCGCGCUACACUGAAGUGAUCAGCGUGCAAUUUACGUUUGGUGAUCUGUCAAGAUUGCCCAACCCGUUGAACCUUCUUCGUGAUUGGGAUAGGGGAUUGUAAUUAUUCCCCUUGAACGAGGAAUUCCCAGUAAGCGCAAGUCAUAAGCUUGCGUUGAUUACGUCCCUGCCCUUUGUACACACCGCCCGUCGCUACUACUGAUUGAAUGA